AAAACAAAAACGUAGGGGGCAAGCGUUGUCCGGAAUUACUGGGCGUAAAGGGCGUGUAGGCGGCAAUGUAAGUCAGGAGUGAAACCCGUCGGCUUAACCGACGGCCUGCUUCUGAAACUGCAUAGCUUGAGUGCAGGAGAGGGAAGUGGAAUUCCUAGUGUAGCGGUGAAAUGCGUAGAUAUUAGGAGGAACACCAGUGGCGAAGGCGACUCUCUGGUCUAUAACUGACGCUGAGGCGCGAAAGCGUGGGGAGCAAACAGG
rnacentral:rRNA from 1 species